GUGAAGCUGCUCCAAGGGACAAACCCUGGAGAUUGUUUUAGGGAGACUGUGCAACAUUCUUGUACAUGUCUCAUUGGGGAGUUGACACACGGUGGAAGCCAUGUGGCGAGAGGAGUGUCAUUUUAAUUUGCAGAUGUCGUGAGGUGCCAUGACGAGAAGGAGUGACUGAGGGGAUCGUCCAUAAGAUGGAAGCUGAAGCCUGGAGAGAGUCUUCAGGAGGUCGGAGAUCACCUUCAGCACAGAGAGCUGUGCUACUGGGCUUCCAGGAGAUCGUCAUGAGGAGACUCUGCACUGCAAAAUCUUAAAUAAGAUGAAAGACUUGCGACGUUGACAUUGAGGAAGACAACUAAGGUGUAAGACGUGCUCUGCCUUUAAAAUCUUCAGCAACGUUGGAUCAUGAGAACCUGAGGGAGCGUGCCAAGCUCCAAAAAGUGACAGCGCAGAGGAGGUCCAGCGAUGGACUUGUGGUUCUGUGAACAGCACAAAUGCCAGGAGCAGAGUCUGAAGUCUGGAGAUUGGAUGUUGACAAGGCCAUGGAGAGGAAGUGCUGGUCCAGUCCACGGUGGAAAGGUCCAUAUCGGAUGCUGCUGAUGACGAUCACAGCAGUGAAGAUUGCUGAAAGGAUUACUUGGAUACAUCAAGCGCACUGCAAGAAGGUGACACACAUCCAGGCCAGCUCGGGGUAAGUGGCAGGAAGACCGGGUACAAAGGGGGGGGAAAGCCUCCAGGGCCCCUCGUCUCAAUCCGGUGAAGAAACCAACUGAGCCACAGGUACUCAUCAGAAUGGCUGGGAAUGUGCUGUGCGCCUUCUUGUGCCUGUGGACCCAGAGUGGGA